rnacentral:rRNA from 1 species
AUAAUAACUUAACGAAUCGCAUGGCCCUGCGCCGGCGAUGGUUCAUUCAAAUUUCUGCCCUAUCAACUUUCGAUGGUAGGAUAGUGGCCUACCAUGGUGGCAACGGGUAACGGGGAAUUAGGGUUCGAUUCCGGAGAGGGAGCCUGAGAAACGGCUACCACAUCCAAGGAAGGCAGCAGGCGCGCAAAUUACCCAAUCCCGACACGGGGAGGUAGUGACAAUAAAUACUGAUACGGGGCUCUUUUGGGUCUCGUAAUUGGAAUGAGUACAAUCUAAAUCCCUUAACGAGGAACAAUUGGAGGGCAAGUCUGGUGCCAGCAGCCGCGGUAAUUCCAGCUCCAAUAGCGUAUAUUAAAGUUGUUGCAGUUAAAAAGCUCGUACUUGAACCUUGGGUCUGGCUGGCCGGUCCGCCUCACCGCGAGUACUGGUCCGGCUGGACCUUUCCUUCUGGGGAAUCUCAUGGCCUCUCACUGGCUGUGGGGCGGAACCACGACUUUUACUGUGAAA